UACGGAGGGUGCGAGCGUUAAUCGGAAUUACUGGGCGUAAAGCGCACGUAGGCGGUCAGGCAAGUCGGGUGUGAAAGCCCUGGGCUCAACCUGGGAAUUGCAUUCGAAACUAUCUGACUCGAGUAUGGGAGAGGGAAGCGGAAUUUCCGGUGUAGCGGUGAAAUGCGUAGAUAUCGGAAGGAACACCAGUGGCGAAGGCGGCAUCCUGGACCGGCAUUGACGCUGAACAGCGAAAGCUAGGG
rnacentral:rRNA from 1 species